AGUGAACGCUGGCGGCAGGCCUAACACAUGCAAGUCGAACGGAAGAACAGUAAGAGCUUGUUGUUACAGGUGGCGAGGGGCGAACGACGCAGGUAAACAUCCCAGACCGUUGGGGAUAAGGUAGGAAAAUGGGGAAAAUUACGGUAAUGCGCCAUAGGGACAAAGUGGGGGAUCAUAGGAUCUUCCGAUCUUGGGUGAGCCUAGGUCCGAUUAGCUGGUUGGUGGGGUAACGGCCUACCAAGGCGACGAUCCGUAGCUGGUCUGAGAGGAUGAGCAGGCCCACUGGAACUGAGACACGGUCCAGACUCCUACGGGCGGCAGCAGUGGGGAAUAUUGGACAAUGGGCGCAAGCCUGAUCCAGCCAUGCCGCGUGGGUGCAGAAGGGCUUCGGGUUGUAAAGCACUUUUGGUGGGGAAGAACGGCAGCAGGUUAAUACCUGGCUGUUUUGACGGUACCCACAGAAUAAGCACCGGCUAACUUCGUG
rnacentral:rRNA from 1 species